AUGAACGCUGGCGGCGUGCCUAAUACAUGCAAGUCGAGCGAACAGACGAGGAGCUUGCUCCUCUGACGUUAGCGGCGGACGGGUGAGUAACACGUGGAUAACCUACCUAUAAGACUGGGAUAACUUCGGGAAACCGGAGCUAAUACCGGAUAAUAUAUUGAACCGCAUGGUUCAAUAGUGAAAGACGGUUUUGCUGGCACUUAUAGAUGGACCCGCGCCGCAUUAGCUAGUUGGUAAGGUAACGGCUUACCAAGGCAACGAUGCGUAGCCGACCUGAGAGGGUGAUCGGCCACACUGGAACUGAGACACGGUCCAGACUCCUACGGGAGGCAGCAGUAGGGAAUCUUCCGCAAUGGGCGAAAGCUUGACGGAGCAACGCCGCGUGAGUGAUGAAGGUCUUCGGAUCGUAAAACUCUGUUAUUAGGGAAGAACAAAUGUGUAAGUAACUAUGCACGUCUUGACGGUACCUAAUCAGAAAGCCACGGCUAACUACGUG
rnacentral:rRNA from 1 species